GUCUCUUGGAGGUUGUGGCCUUGACCGUGGCUUUCGGAGCUAACGCGUUAAGUAGACCGCCUGGGGAGUACGGUCGCAAGAUUAAAACUCAAAUGAAUUGACGGGGGCCCGCACAAGCGGUGGAGCAUGUGGUUUAAUUCGAUGCAACGCGAAGAACCUUACCUACUCUUGACAUCCAGAGAACUUUCCAGAGAUGGAUUGGUGCCUUCGGGAACUCUGAGACAGGUGCUGCAUGGCUGUCGUCAGCUCGUGUUGUGAAAUGUUGGGUUAAGUCCCGCAACGAGCGCAACCCUUAUCCUUGUUUGCCAGCACUUCGGGUGGGAACUCCAGGGAGACUGCCGGUGAUAAACCGGAGGAAGGUGGGGACGACGUCAAGUCAUCAUGGCCCUUACGAGUAGGGCUACACACGUGCUACAAUGGCGCAUACAGAGGGCGGCCAACUUGCGAGAGUGAGCGAAUCCCAAAAAGUGCGUCGUAGUCCGGAUCGGAGUCUGCAACUCGACUCCGUGAAGUCGGAAUCGCUAGUAAUCGUGGAUCAGAAUGCCACGGUGAAUACGUUCCCGGGCCUUGUACACACCGCCCGUCACACCAUGGG
rnacentral:rRNA from 1 species